rnacentral:rRNA from 1 species
CGGACUCCUACGGGAGGCUGCAGUACCGAAUAUUCCGCAAUGCGCGACAGCGUGACGGAGCAAUGCCGCGUGAAGGAUGAAGCCCCUCGGGGUGUAAACUUCUGUCAGUGGAAUAGGAACAAAAUGACCGUUCCCAAAGGAAGGGCCGGCUAACUUCGUGCCAGCAUCCGCGGUAAUACGAAGGGCCCGAGCGUUGCGCGGAAUCACUGGGCUUAAAGGGUGCGUAGGCGGAACUGUAAGUACUUUGUGAAAUCCCUCGGCUCAAGCGGGGAAUUGCUUGGUAUACUGCGGUUCUUGAGGCCAGUAGGGGCAGCCGGAACUCUAGGUGGAGCGGUGAAAUGCAUAGAUAUCUACAGGAACGCCAAAGGUGAAUACAGGCUGCUGGGCUGGACCUGACGCUGAGUGCACGAUAGCGUGGUGAGCAAACAGGAUUAGAUACCCUGGGUAGUCCACGCCGUAAACGUUGUGCACUAGGUCCCGGAGCUUUUGACGCCAUCCGGGGAUGGAGCGAAAGGACGAAGUGCACCGACUUGUCGAGUACGGUCGCAAGGCUGAAACUCAAAGGAAUUGACGGGGGCUCACACAAGCGGUGGAGCAUGUGGCGUAAUUCGAAGCAACGCGAAGAACCUUAUCCUGGGUUUGACAUGUAUGGAUUGGCCCUCGUGGAAGCGAGGCCACGCCCUGUUGGGUGGAACAGACACAGGUGUUGCAUGGCUGUCGUCAGCUCGAGCCGUGAGCUGUUAGGUUAAGUCCUUCAACGAGGGAAACCACGGGCCGUUAGUUGCCAGCGCGCCUUCGGGUGGCGCGGGACUCUAGCAGGGACGGCCGGUGUCAAACCGGAGGAAGGUGGGGAUGACGUCAAGUCCUCAUGGCCUUUAGGCCCAGGGCUGCACACGUGCUACAAUGGCGCGCACAGAGCGAAGCGAUGCCGCGAGGCGGAGCAAAUCGCAAGAAACGCGCCCCAGUUCAGAUUGUAGUCUGCAACUCGAGUACAUGAAGGCGGAAUCGCUAGUAAUCGCGUAUCAGCAAUGACGCGGUGAAUAUGU